UUCUUUUUUUAAAGCUUCUCACUUGUUUCUUUGUGUCUCCCAAAUGAGAACUAUAGGAAUCAAAAGGACAGAUAUUUCAGGAUAGAAACAGAGGUGCAAAGAUACAUUAACAGUCAAGAUCGAAUCCCUAUCCUACUUGGGUGCAUAGUUCCAAAAUCAACUACAGAAAUGGAGGUUGAAGUUGGCCCUGGUGAGUCAUUCAGGCUGUGUCUGGGGACGACUGAAUACCAUUAGGAUGACACACUUCUGUGAACAUUUGAUGGUGUUCUUUUCAUUCCCUCUCAAAGACAUCUUCUUGCCGGUCCAUGUAACUGAUGUAGUAUGAAAAGUAAGCUGUCACCAAGGAAACGGAGAUUACAGAUGGAAUACACAUCUUACUCUGGCUGAGGCAGACAGUGCAGAUGAGGCACGCUUACCUCUGAAGAAAGGAGUGUUUGAAGGAAGACUUUAGAUAGCCAACCUUCACCCUGAUAUUUCCAAUGAAAUAUUUUGAUAUUUUUCAAACAAUAGGCCAGUCAGAGGCAGAGAUAAUGUGGCAGUGCCUGAUGUUGACAUACCACUAAAAUGUUUUCUAUUUCUUUACCCCAAUCAGAAACACUCUAGUGUCUCCAUGAGGGGACAGCUUCUGGGAAAAGGGAAGUCUAUCUCCUCUCACUACCAGUGAAUUCUCCUUUAUAUUGGCAUUUGUGUUGUCUAUGCUUAUUACGUUUUCAUUAUAGUCCUUUAUCAUAUUUAACUUAACUUAAAAAACCAUAUGGUUUCUAAAUGCAGAAGGUAAUAAAUAGCAUUUAAUACACAUUAAAUUAAAUAAUUCUGUUCUAUA